GACGAACGCUGGCGGCGUGCUUAACACAUGCAAGUCGAGCGGUAAGGCCCUUUCGGGGGUACACGAGCGACGAACGGGUGAGUAACACGUGGGUGACCUGCCCUUAGCUCUGGGAUAAGCCUGGGAAACUGGGUCUAAUACCGGAUAUGACUCCAUGACGCAUGUUGUGGGGUGGAAAGCCUUGUGCGGCUAGGGAUGGGCCCGCGGCCUAUCAGCUUGUUGGUGGGGUGAUGGCCUACCAAGGCGACGACGGGUAGCCGGCCUGAGAGGGCGACCGGCCACACUGGGACUGAGACACGGCCAGACUCCUACGGGAGGCAGCAGUGGGGAAUCUUGCGCAAUGGGCGAAAGCCUGACGCAGCGACGCCGCGUGGGGAUGACGGCCU
rnacentral:rRNA from 1 species